AUAAAAAAACCCUAGCCUCUCAAAAUCACAACCCAAUACCCAACGCCUCCCUCGAUCUCCAUCUGCUAUUGAACUGGCGACGACGGUCUUCAUCUGCUAUUGAACUGGCGACGACGGUAAUAACAGAUGGCGGAGCGAUCGACGGUGGCUUGGGUUCUCCUCUCUCCAGUCGACGACGGACGGCAACGUGAGCAGCGACGUCUAUCGAUAGGCUCCCGGCGACGUGAGCAGCGGUGUUUGACGAAAGCCUCCCAACCGUAGCUGACGACGAGAAAACAGUGGUGUCAGUGGAUCUUGGUUGGUCAAAGUGCAGAUUGAAGGUGAUGAAGUUAAUAUCAAGAGAAAGUAGAUAUAUUGUCCUAAGAUUUAGGAGCUGCUAUUUUCCUGAUUAUUUGACAAUUUUUACAUAGCUGAAUUCGGGUUAUGCUCAAAUGAUUGUUAAUUCUACUUAAUGACAGUGUGUAGAGAAGUAUAUUGUGCAUUUUAAUUUCAUUACCUGAUUGUGAACCAGGUUUAAGUUUACCCAAGAGUUUUAUUGUGGGUAA